UUCUUAAAAAGUCAAUUUUUUCUUUUUUUUCCUGAAAUCAUUCAGAUCUUUCUGAGUUUUCUAUGGAAGUUGUCUGUACUCCGCCAAGCAAACAAUUUCCUGAUUCAUACAAAUUCUCUGUAUUCUGUUAGUGACCAUGCUAACAAUUGUUUUUCUAGGGAGUUUGCCGUAUGCAACAUAAAGCUUCUGAGAUUUACAUAGUCAAGCAACGAAGGGGUAAUUACAUGAAUGUAUUUGUAUCAGGUAAAAAAAAAAAAAAAAAAACACACUGAACUUCUACAAAGGGUUUUGUCAUCAUGGUCAGUUAAGGAAUAACCAAGGGCAAUUAGAAUCUUGAAUCAGAAAGGUAACCAAAUUCUGUAGAGAAUUUUCCAACCACUCGUAGUUUUUAGAUAUUUCAAGGCUAUAAGGUUCCUCUGGCAGAAUAUAUUUUUCAUACAAGAUGUGUUUCCUUACUUAAGCUACUGUUUUUCUCUGAUCAGUAUCUUUCUCCAGGAGAACGUGGGCUUGUGUUUUUUCUGACACAGGUAAUGACUCUAAAACACCUUCCUACGUCUUUGCUCCCAGCCAAAAAACCAUGUAAUAUUUCUUGCACAAUAGGAUCUCAUUGAAAAUAUCUUACAAAGCUUGCUUUCUGUAUGUAGAUGUUGUGUCUCUAUUAAAUCUGAUGUCUGCAUAGGAGUUAUCAUUCCAUAAGAUGACAUUAAUUGUUUUCUUGUCUUUUGGACCAAAGGGUCACUGGUUUUAAAACCUGCUAUGUUUACAAGUGGCAUGUAAAGGUUAUUUUUUUCGCUUGCAACCAAAUCCAGGUCAAUGUCUUGAUCUUCCUUUGCUCUGCAUGCCUAUUAAUACACACUCCAGCUCCAUGUCUUGACUAGGAGGUAGCAACUAAUUUAGUGCUACCCAAACUACAUCAAAAGUCAGCUGGGGUCAUUUGUGUUUCUUUUUCUUUAUGGACACAAAAAAGCUUGAAUUUUUUAUGACUUCCAAAGUACAUCACCUAUACAGAAGCACUGAGGUUUCAGGCCUCUCCUAAACAUACCCUUGUUUGCAUACACGUCCUGCCUCUUUGUGGGACGUGGAGAAGAAGGUUAGACUGAGCAGGAAUAGCUGGGAAAAAAAGGUGGAAGUGGCCCUGGCCAUCCUGUACUUGAGAGAAAUACCAGCAGCCCAGCUAACUGUGUGGGUAGGGCUGAAAUUUAUCUUCCAGGCUAAUAACCAAUUCCACCAACUUUUGGACAUGAAUGAGCAAGAAAGGUCCACAUUCAGGACAAAGGAGCUGUGGAUGGGAUGGUGAAGGAUGUCCCACACACUCUGCCUGUAAAUUUUGGGGUGAUUUUGAGAAUAAUUGGGUAACUGCUUCCACCUCAUAAAUAGGGGUACAGCAAACCAGCAAAAGGUCAAAACAUCCGUGCUCUCCCCUAGAGAUGGGGUAGAGGCAGUUAGGCAGGAGCUAAGAAAGAGUAAGGCACUGUAUGUUACUGAACUUCCUCAAGGAGAGGAAGUUUUGUCUGAAAGAUGAACUCAUCUCCAAAGAACCCUGCUCCAGAAAAGUUAUUUCUCUGCACUGUGAAUAUAUUCUCUGGGAGCAUGCCCAUGGAAAGCCUCCUUCAUGAACCUCUUCAGACUAUUACAGCAGCCUUCCUUCAGCCGCAGGAAGACCCCGAUCUUGCCUAAUAGUCCCGUCUCAUGCAUCUCAAUGCCAGUCUCCCCUGGAGGAGGGAACAG
ensembl:lncRNA